CCGACGGUGAGGGAUGAAAGCUGGGGGCACGAACCGGAUUAGAUACCCGGGUAGUCCCAGCCGUAAACGAUGCUCGCUAGGUGUCAGGCAUGGCGCGACCGUGUCUGGUGCCGCAGGGAAGCCGUGAAGCGAGCCACCUGGGAAGUACGGCCGCAAGGCUGAAACUUAAAGGAAUUGGCGGGGGAGCACAACAACGGGUGGAGCCUGCGGUUUAAUUGGACUCAACGCCGGACAACUCACCGGGGGCGACAGCAAUAUGUAGGCCAAGCUGAAGACUUUGCCUGAAUCGCUGAGAGGAGGUGCAUGGCCGUCGCCAGUUCGUAC
rnacentral:rRNA from 1 species